UACCAGCACCCCGAGUGGUCGGGACGAUUAUUGGGCCUAAAGCAUCCGUAGCCGGUUCUACAAGUCUUCCGUUAAAUCCACCUGCUUAACAGAUGGGCUGCGGAGGAUACUAUAGAGCUAGGAGGCGGGAGAGGCAAGCGGUACUUAGUGGGUAGGGGUAAAAUCCGUUGAUCCAUUGAAGACCACCAGUGGCGAAGGCGGCUUGCCAGAACGCACUCGACGGUGAGGGAUG
rnacentral:rRNA from 1 species